rnacentral:tRNA from 1 species
GCGGACGUGGCGGAACUGGUAUACGCAGCGGACUUAAAAUCCGUCGCCUUCGGGAUUGCGGGUUCGAUUCCCGCCGUCCGCA